GAAAAAGAAAUCCUUGAUUUAAAUUUGAAUUUUUCUAACUUUACUCACUGUUGAAAUUUGGCGUGUACUCCAAUGUAUGUCUAAAAACAAGAAAAGACAACGUUGAAUACGAAGUUUUAUUACGAUUAAUAAAGGAAUAAGGGAAAAAUCA